rnacentral:rRNA from 1 species
CAGCAGCCGCGGUAACACAUACCGUGCGAGCAUUGUCCGGAAUUACUGGGCGUAAAGGGUCAGUAGGCGGAAUUGUAAGUCAGAUGUUAAAGGCACGGGCUCAACCGGUGUACGGCAUUUGAAACUGCAAUUCUAGAGUAAGGUGGGGGAAGAUGGAAUUCCUGGUGUAGCGGUGGAAUGCGCAGAUAUCAGGAAGAACACCAGUUGCCAAGGCCACCUUCUAUACCAUUACUGACGCUCAAUUACGAAGGUGUGGGUAUCGAACAGGAUUAGAUACCCUGGUAGUCCACACAGUUAACGAUAUGCGCUAGGAUUUUGGGAGGGUGAACCUUUCAGUGUCGUAGCUAACGCGUUAAGGGCAUUGCCUGGGGAGUACGAUCGCAAGGUUAAAACUCAAAGGAAUUGACGGGGGCCCGCACAAGCGGUGGAGCAUGUGGGUUAAUUCGAUGCAACGCGAAGAACCUUACCUGGACUUGACAUCCUAGGAAUCUAAUAGAGAUAUUGGAGUGCCUUUUCGGAGGAACCCUAGUGACAGGUGCUGCAUGGCUGUCGUCAGCUCGUGCCGUGCCAUGUUGGGUUAAGUCCCGCAACGAGCGCAACCCCUAUCUUUAGUUACCAUUUCGAUUAAGUUGGGGACUCUAGAGAGACUGCCAGUGUAAUAAACUGGAGGAAGGUGGGGACGACGUCAAGUCAUCAUGGUCCUUAUGUCCAGGGCUACACACGUGCUACAAUGGACGGUACAGAGGGUCGCAAUACCGCGAGGUGGAGCAAAUCUCAGAAAGCCGUUCUCAGUUCGGAUUGGAGUCUGCAACUCGACUCCAUGAAGUUGGAAUCGCUAGUAAUCGCGUGUCAGCGUAACGCGGUGAAUACGUUCCCGGGCCUUGUACACACCGCCCGUCAAGUCAGCCGAGUUGAUUGCACCCGAUGGAGGUGGGCGAACCGAAAGGAAGCAACAUUUGCAUAUAAUAUCGAAAAGGUGGGCUAAGUCGUAACAAGGUAUCCGUAU